rnacentral:misc_RNA from 1 species
GAUGAAGAACGUAGCGAAAUGCGAUAAGUAAUGUGAAUUGCAGAAUUCAGUGAAUCAUCGAAUCUUUGAACGCACAUUGCGCCCCCUGGUAUUCCGGGGGGCAUGCCUGUUCGAGCGUCAUUUCACCACUCAAGCCUCGCUUGGUAUUGGGCGACGCGGUCCGCCGCGCGCCUCAAAUCGACCGGCUGGGUCUUCCGUCCCCUCAGCGUUGUGGAAACUAUUCGCUAAAGGGUGCCGCGGGAGGUCACGCCGCAAAACAACCCCAUUUCUAAGGUUGACCUCGGAUCAGGUAGGGAUACCCGCUGAACUUAAGCAUAUCAAAAGCGGAGGA